GCAAGUGCAUUGCGCAGAAUCCCCAUGGCCGAAAAGGUACUUCUUCAAGAAACGGCCCUACACGGACAAGACUCCAACGAGAAAGUCUAAAGCCCCCGGUUUCCGCGAUUCGUCAGAACAGCCCACGUCAAAAAAUCCGAGACUCCUCCCCGGCGUAUAAUGGCACAGAAGAACAUACACACCGAGAACACGCGGCGGAUUUCGGCGUGCCGGACAUUCACAAUAACGAAACCGGAUGAUUUCAACGUUUUAAAUGACAUUUCACAGCUUUGACACACCCGAACCCUUGGAGCCACGACAGGCCCUGUAUGGAGGCCGUACCAAUGCUUUGACCUUACGUGAAAACAACAACCAGGAAAAGCCUUGUGAUCACUCAGAUCAGGAAAGAGCCCUUACAGCUGUCUGGGUUCCACCUGAAUUCACAAAGGCUCUAGAGAAGGGGUAUCGUGUGGCCAAAAUCUUUGAAGUGUGGAACUUUUCCAGGAAAUCAGACACUCUUUUUAAAGAGUACAUCAAGACCUUGUUGAGAUGCAAGCAAAUGGCUUCAGGCUAUCCUGCAUCGGUCACAGAUCAAGAGAGCAAAGACAAGUACAUUCAAGACUAUCAUGACAGAGAAGGCAUACUUCUUGACCCCAACCGAAUAGAGGUCAACAAGACCAAACGAAAUGUGUCAAAAUUUUACUUAAACUCGCUUUGGGGAAGCUUUCGCAGAGAUGCAAUAUGCUAACAACAUCGAUCAUUAAAGACCCCGAAGAAUUUUUGGAAUUUGUUUUUUCGGACCAAUACGAAAUUUCACAUUUUUCAUUCUUGAGUCAAGACAUUGCCCUGGUGCAAUGGAGACGUAACAAGAAGUGGGUUCUACCCCUGGGUAAUGUAAAUGUGUUUCUUGCAGCAUUUACCACGGCCUAUGGCCGACUUGAACUGUACUCCCUCAUGGAGCAGCUUCAGAGGAGGGUUCUUUACCAUGACACAGACUCUGUGGUCUAUGUAAGCAAACAGGGUGACUGGACCCCCCCACUUAGCAACUAUCUGGGUGGUUUAACGAGUGAACUCAAAGAUGGCGACCAUAUCACAGAAGGGACUUCCUGUGGGCCCAAAAGCUAUGCUUUUAGGACUAAAGACAAUCAUGUGGUGUUGAAAGCCAAAGGCGUGACUCAAAACUACGAAAAUGCCCCGCGUGUAAACUUGGAAUCAAUCACACGCUUGGUCGAGGGGUUCAUAAACGAUCGGAAUAGUGACUUGGAGAUUUUGAGCUCCUACAAAAAAAUUGUUAGGGAUAAAAAGGGCUUCCAUCUCAGGAAUGCCCCACUUACUAAAAGAUUCAGGGUAGUCUAUGACAAGAGACUGCUUUUACCUAAUGGGACCACACUGCCCUUUGGCUACUGACUUAUGCUACAAGCCCCAGUGUGUCUUAAAGCUUAAGAUAUAAUGGCUGCUGUAGAAGGUUUUGACCCCAGGUUGCAACUCACAUUUUCGGCCUUAAUCGCAGGCCCCUCCAACAGUGGUAAAACAUGUUUUGUAAAAAGUAUUUUAGAGAAUUCUGAACAUGUGUUAUCUCAGAAGCCUGACAAUAUUGUGUGGUGUUAUUCAUGUUAUCAACCUAUGUAUGAUGAAUUGUUGAAGAAAAUAAAAAUCAAGUUUGUUGAAGGAAUACCUGAA
rnacentral:lncRNA from 1 species